UACGUAGGGUGCAAGCGUUGUCCGGAAUUAUUGGGCGUAAAGAGCUCGUAGGCGGUUUGUCGCGUCUGCUGUGAAAACCCGAGGCUCAACCUCGGGCCUGCAGUGGAUACGGGCAGACUAGAGGUAGGUAGGGGAGAAUGGAAUUCCCGGUGUAGCGGUGAAAUGCGCAGAUAUCGGGAGGAACACCGGUGGCGAAGGCGGUUCUCUGGGCCUCACCUGACGCUGAGGAGCGAAAGCAUGGGGAGCGAACAGG
rnacentral:rRNA from 1 species